AGAGUUUGAUCCUGGCUCAGGAUAAACGCUGGCGGCGUGCCUAAUACAUGCAAGUCGAACGAAGAACUUUGUAGCAAUACUUAGUUCUUAGUGGCGAAUGGGUGAGUAACGCGUUGGUGACCUGCCCCGAAGUGAGGGAUAACAGUUCGAAAGGACUGCUAAUACCACAUGUGGUCGCAGAGGUUAGAGACUCUGCGUCUAAAGGAGCAAUUCGCUUCGGGAGGGGCCUGCGUCCCAUCAGCUCGUUGGUAGGGUAAUGGCCUACCAAGGCUACGACGGGUAGGGGGUCUGAGAGGGUGACCCCCCACACUGGCACUGAAACACGGGCCAGACACCUACGGGUGGCAGCAGUAGGGAAUAUUAGACAAUGGGCGAAAGCCUGAUCUAGCAACGCCGCGUGUGCGAUGAAGACCUUCGGGUUGUAAAGCACUUUUCGGAGAGAUGAGGAAGGACAGUAUCUCCGGAAUAAGGAUCGGCUAACUACGUGCCAGCAGCCGCGGUAAUACGUAGGAUCCGAGCGUUAUCCGAAUUCACUGGGCGUAAAGCGUGUGCAGGCGGUUUGGUAAGUUGGAUGUGAAAGCUCCCGGCUCAACUGGGAGAGGUCGUUCAAAACUACCAGACUUGAGGGCGGCAGAGGGAGGUGGAAUUCCCGGUGUAGUAGUGAAAUGCGUAGAUAUCGGGAGGAACACCAGUGGCGAAGGCGGCCUCCUGGGCCGCUCCUGACGCUGAGACACGAAAGCUAGGGGAGCGAACGGGAUUAGAAACCCCGGUAGUCCUAGCUGUAAACGAUGUGAACUUGGUGUCGGUGGGGUAAAAGCCAUCGGCGCCGUAGCUAACGCGUUAAGUUCACCGCCUGAGGACUACGGCCGCAAGGUUAAAACUCAAA
rnacentral:rRNA from 1 species